rnacentral:lncRNA from 1 species
UUGGUUUACCUUGCCGGAUGAAUAAUGUAGGUCAGGAAUCCUGACGUGUGCACGCAUGUAGGAGAUCGUACGUACUAGUAUGAUCACGUGUGCUUGGUAGUCGCUGCUAGUCCGUAGGUACUGAUGGUCAGUAGUCAUGUGUCCGUGUCGGUCGGGAGUGUGGUGGUGGCUCCGGUGGCUUGUCCGGCCUCUCUUCCCAAACCAGCUCCCGCUGUAUCCUUGUAUUUCCAGUAAUGUAAGUCGUCGUUGCUGAAAUCUGAACCUUGGUAGUUCGCUACUUCU